rnacentral:rRNA from 1 species
GACGCCAUAGGAUGAAUCUGCGGCCGAUUAGGUAGUUGUUGGGGUAACGGCCCAACAAGCCUGUAAUCGGUACGGGUUGUGGGAGCAAGAGCCCGGAGAUGGAAUCUGAGACACGAUUCCAGGCCCUACGGGGCGCAGCAGGCGCGAAAACUUUACAAUGCAGGCAACUGUGAUAAGGGAACCCCGAGUGCUCGUAUGUGCGAGCUGUUCAGGUGUACAAAACGCAUCUGAAGAAAGGGCCGGGCAAGACCGGUGCCAGCCGCCGCGGUAAUACCGGCGGCUCGAGUGGUGGCCAUUUUUAUUGGGCUUAAAGCGUUCGUAGCUUGAAUAUUAAGUCUCUUGGGAAAUCUCACGGCUUAACCGUGAGGCGUCCACGGGAUACUGGUAUUCUUGGGAUCGGAAGAGGUAAGAGGUACUCCGGGGGUAGGAGUGAAAUCCUGUAAUCCCUGGGGGACCACCGAUGGCGAAGGCAUCUUACCAGGACGAGUCCGACAGCGAGGAACGAAAGCUGGGGGAGCGAACCGGAUUAGAUACCCGGGUAGUCCCAGCCGUAAACGAUGCGCGUUAGGUGUACCGGUAACCACGAGUUACUGGGGUGCCGAAGGGAAACCGUGAAACGUGCCGCCUGGGAAGUACGGUCGCAAGGCUGAAACUUAAAGGAAUUGGCGGGGGAGCACCACAACAGGUGGAGCCUGCGGUUUAAUUGGAUUCAACGCCGGGA